AAUUGAAGGAAAUGCGAGUUCUAAAACAGAAAAGGUUGGAAUUCGAGAUGCUUAAAUACAAGGAAGAAAAAGAAAAUAGAACAAAUAACUGAGAACUUUGCAGAGAUUGGAUGGAGAGUUAUCGUGUGUAUUUUUUGUUAAUGAAUUUUAUAAUUUUUGUUUUUAACUGUGAUGAAAUACUUUUUUUUUAAAUGAAUUGUUUUUUUUUUUGUUUAGUAUUAAGUGUGUUAUUUUUAUUUUUAAGAAAGCUUAUAGUUAGGUUAAGAUUAGUUUAUAAGUUUAGUAAUAAGAUUUUUAGUCAUGAAGACAAACUGAAGUUCCUUUUUUUGUAAACAAAACAAAGUACAAAUAAAAAAAUUAAUUGAAAAAAGUA